rnacentral:tRNA from 1 species
AUUCUGGUGGUCUAGUGGUUAAGACUCAGUGCUUUUACCACUGCAGCCCGGGUUCAUUUCCUGGUCGGAGAA